rnacentral:rRNA from 1 species
UACGAGGCGAACCCGGGGAACUGAAACAUCUCAGUACCUGGAGGAAAAGACAUCAAUUGAGAUUCUGCUAGUAGUGGCGAGCGAACGCGGAACAGGCCAGUGGUCUUUGGAAGAGAAGCAGAACACUCUGGAAAGGGUGGCCAUAGUGGGUGAUAGUCCCGUAUGCGUAGUGCUUUUAAAGAUCCUUGAGUAGGGCGGGGCACGUGAAACCCUGUCUGAACAUGGGGGGACCACCCUCCAAGCCUAAAUACUCCCUGGUGACCGAUAGUGAACAAGUACCGUGAGGGAAAGGUGAAAAGCACCCCGACGAGGGGAGUGAAAUAGACCUGAAACCGAAUGCCUACAAGCAGUCGGAGCCUCUUAUGGGGUGACGGCGUACCUUUUGUAUAAUGGGUCAGCGAGUUUCUGUUUGCAGCAAGCUUAAGCCGGUAGGUGUAGGCGUAGCGAAAGCGAGUCUGAAUAGGGCGUCUAGUUGCUGGCAGAAGACCCGAAACCGAGUGAUCUAGCCAUGGCCAGGCUGAAGGUGCGGUAACACGCACUGGAGGGCCGAAC